ensembl:lncRNA
CGUAUUUUCAGUAUGUGGUUUAUUAAAUUUUCAACCAUUUACACACCAUAUAAAAUGUAUGUUGACUUAAAGUUUGAUCGGUUACAUUCACUUGUUUUCAAUAAAACAAAUAACGCAUUAUUUUGUUCUCACUAUAUUUAAUUACUACUCUUUUUUUAUUUCUACAAACGGCAUAAAGAACAACAAAAAACAGAGCAGAAAACACUAAAAAAAGUUUCCAGUUUUCAAUUUCUUAUGUAGAUUAAAAUAAACAUUUAAAGCAAAAAAGUAUAGACAAGUAUUGGUUUUUUUUUUUACACUUUACAGUUACAAUCUAGAGUACCCCUGUAUGUUUAUAUAACUGCUUUAUUCAUCAAAAAAAUUUGACCAGAGGAAAGCAAGGUCAGUGAGGUCAUGAAAGAUUAAAGCUCUUUGGGUUUAAUGGGUGGGUGCAUGUAUCUUUUAUUUUAUUUUAUUUUUUUAGACUAAUAGAAGGAAUUUGCAGUGGGGAGACAUUUAGGGGAUGAAGCUGAUGUUUGUGAAAUCCUGAUUUGGCAGUUUCCUCAGUCUUAUUCAUUAUUUCUGAUUCUCACAACGCCGUCACGUCACCUUUACCCUCACCACCUUCUUCAGACCAGAUCGCACUUCCAGAGAACUGCUUUAGAUCUAUCAGCAAUCCCGGCCCUCCACUUGCCUCAGCUUUACUCUGCUCUUCUCCCACUUUCUCCUCCUUUUCUUCACUUUUAUCUUCCGUCUCUCCCUCUGGCUCAGACUCAUCGUUAAGUUUGGUUUGCUCUCCUGCCUCUGAACUCCCAAUACUUGAGUCAUCAUUUGAAGUAUUACUUUCUUUCUCCUUAGCAUUACCAGUGUCGUUGUCCUCCUCCUCUUCAUCUCCCUCUGUGUCACUCUCCUGACUACCACCACUAUCCACCUGUUCUUCUUCAUCUUGGACUUCCUGCAUUUCCUCCCCUUCCUCUUCUUCAUCACUUCCAGGCCACAGCUGGACCCCAAGACGUGCCCCCACAGCUAACGCUGCACUUCUCGCCUGGUCCCUGAGACCUCCUUCCUUGUAGACGAUGCGUCGGACUGUAUAUUCCCCUUCAGCCUCCCUGUUCAGCUUCUUGUACAGUACAAAGAGCACAACAAGGAGGAAUAAUAGGAUGAACAAAAGGCCCAGCACCAAUGGAGUGCUGUUUUGUUCAGAAUCCCCCAUCCCUGAAGGAAGGACAGAGAAGAGGUUCAGAAUUAGUAUGAACACACAUGGGGAAUCAGUUCAUUUUCAUAAAUGUUUUGGUGAUGUAGGAUUUAAGAAAACACAUGUUUACAUUCUUGCCGAGUUAGAUUAGAAAAAUGACAUUUUACAUUAUUCUCGUUU